GAGGCUUCAUCUCAUCCAAUUCAACUGGAUUCAAGCCUAUUCACAGCCACUGCCUAGGGCACCGUGGUAAGGAGGAUUGUGAGGUCACAUUAGGGCUAAGCAGAAAGGACCACAUGAGACUCCAAGGUCUGCCAUGAGCUUGGAAGGUGAGUAACCAGGCGAGCACCUGAGGACCUCCACUGCGGAUGAUCUGAGGAGUCCCACUUCCUGAGGCCACUGUGUUGUCAGGAUGCCCAACUUAGUCCCACUGAGGGGCCAAGUGGAGGAGAAGAGGGAAACAGAGACAUCAGAUGUGGGGUUCUGUGGGGUUUUUUUGGUAUUUGGAAGAGCAAUUAGUUGUUAUAAUGAACCGGAAGUACAAGAUUUCACCAAAACAGCAACAGUUGACAGAAUAUGGCUGAACUUAAAUGAAACUUUCAAGGGAAAUAAGUGUGAAACAAAGCCCAUAGGAGUGAAGAAGUGCACUGGUUAGGAACACACGUAAAGAUAGUAGCGUCUAAGUGUGGGUAUCUUCUGACUCUCCCUCUGACUGCAGUCAGAUUGCCAUCAUGCUUCCACAACCCUCUCCCUUCUGAAGCUUCUGCAAAACCACACAGCUUCUCUGUACUGCAGAUGCAAGCCAACCCAAGAGCACCCCUUUAGGCAUGCUGUAUAGAGCCAAGAGGAGAGUUCAUAAAUCUCAUAGCCAACCAAGGGCCUCGAUUAUCCUCUAUGUUCCAGCCCCAGGAGAUGCCAUGGGGAGCAGAGAUUUCCACCCAAGCCCUUUCCAAAUUACAGAAUCUCUAACUUGGGGUGGUUGUUACAUAGCACUAUGUCAACUUUU